UACGUAGGCAGCAAGCGUUGUUCGGAAUUACUGGGCGUAAAGAGUGUGUAGGCGGUGCUCUAAGUUCGUUGUGAAAUCUCCCGGCUCAACUGGGAGGGUGCGCCGGAAACUGGGGUGCUGGAGCGCGGGAGAGGAAAGCGGAAUUCCUGGUGUAGCGGUGAAAUGCGUAGAUAUCAGGAGGAACACCGGCGGUGUAGACGGCUUUCUGGACCGUAGCUGACGCUGAGACACGAAAGCGUGGGUAGCAAACAGG
rnacentral:rRNA from 1 species